AAAUCAGAAAAAAAUCCUAACUCUCCUUCUCCUCUCCCCAGCCGUUUUUCUUUCUUCUCUCUCAAUUUCUCUCUCCUCUCUCUCGUUGUUCUCCCUCUCUCAGAUUCUCUCUCUCCUCCUCCUCCUUCUCAUCGCCUCCUUUCUAGUUGAGUGUGUGCUGCUGUGCGAGGCUCGCGUGUGCAACCUGAGUGUCAGACGAGGCGAGGUGCGACGGGAGUGCGAGGCGCUGCAGGCGAGCGGUGUGUGUGAAGAGGCUGUUUGUGCGAGAGUGUUGGGUGUGCGAUGAGCGAAACAAGGGUUGUGCGAGUCGUGUUGAGGGUUGGUUUGUGUGCGUGGACGUUCGAGGGUUUUGUGCGGAAUUCCGUGGGUGGAGUGCUGCGACGAGGGUCGCGUUGGAGUGUGGUGCAUUGGGCGUGCGAUUCAAAGGGUGAGCGAGGGAGUUCGAGGUGUGCGACACUACUGCGUGAGGCGAGAAAAGGGUCGCGUCGAGGCUGGUGUGAUUGUGUGUGCGGUGGUGCGAUGGGUUGUGCGAAGGAUGGUGCGAAAGUGUGUGCGAGAAGGUUGUCGUGCGAAUUCGGUGGUGCGACGAACCUGGGUGUGCUUGGGGAAGUGGUGCGCGAGUGAGGUGGUGUGCGUCGUUGCCGGAAGUUGGUCGCCGGAGUUCGAUUGCCGGCGAAAGUCAGUGGUCCCAAUUCCAUAAGCGGCACGUUUGGUUAAUACAGCGAAAAUUCUCCGUUACAAGACUAGGUGUACUGGUGCUGCUGCAUGAUACCGAACAUACGGGGGAUAGUCUUUAGUAUUUGAACUUUAAAGCAUUUUAAUUAAGUACUAUUAGAUUUACUAUGAUUUACUUUUUGGUUUGUGGUUUGAAUAAAAGGGGUCGUUGAAGAUUCCCGAGUUGUAGUUACAUUUUUAUUUCCGCUGCAUUUCAGUUUUCGAGACAA